UGACGCAAGACAGACGGACAAAAAAAGAAGGAGGCAGGGGCACACAGGUGAAACCAAUGAGGGACAAUCACACAACGGGAGGAAGAGGAACAGAGGGAAAAGACACAGAUGAGGAAGAGUAUGGCAGUAGAGGCAUGCUGUGCUGUCGCGACGUUGUUUUUCAGAGAACAUCACGCCUCGUCUCGGUCUCGAUAACAACUCCUCCACGGCCCAGCGACGCCACGCUGAACAGCACUAACCUCUAACGGCUGAAGUGAGCACUCUGUGUGGAACAGAGUCACCCGUUCUUGACAAAUUACACCUGUUGCAGGAUUGGAUUAGGGACCCAAACAUGAACACAGAGGAGGUAAAAGGAUGGAUAUCUGUGGUGGCAUGGACUGAGGAGAUGGAAUCAAGUGUGUGACUAUCACCGAGCUGGCUGAACAAUCUGUGGGAGAGCGGAGGAAGAGCUGAGGUUCAUGUCCUGCCAAGUGAUUGGUGAUUAUUGGAACCAGGUGUUGAGACUAAUUAGGCCAGG